AAUAUGGCUGUAAUUAGCAACUGACAAAAAUAUCUGGGCCUGAGCUGAAGUGGGAAAUCACAAAGGACACUUACUGAGACCCUUAAGAACUCAUUAAUCUGGGAGGCCUGAAGAACAUGAAAAGUAGAUGAUCAAUUUGAGGAUACUUGAUACCACUGCAAAUACCUUGAUGCAGGAUACUUCCAUGGUUGAGUAAGAAUCGCAAGACUCUCCAAUGUCUGGAAGUAGUGAUGGUUACCAAACUCAAGGCUGGUUCUAUGUUGAUAUGUGCCAAAAAAAAAAUCCUGCAGAAGAAACUAAUUUCUAUCAUACCUGCACAUGUAUACUGUAGGAUAGUAACAAUGAAAAUACAAAAAGGAAAA
rnacentral:lncRNA from 1 species